ensembl:lncRNA
CUCUAACAAUCAACCAGAAGAUACCCCUUCAUUUUGUAAUGAUAGUAAGCUGGGCACAGGGCUGGAAGUAGAAAACAGAGGUUCCUCCAGUGCAGUGAAUGUGAUGUUGUCUGCAGUCCUGCCUUACCUUUUAAAUUUAUGUUCACAGAAAGAAAUGGAAGGAAUGAUAACCUCCAGGACAAUCCUGAGUCAUAAAAUAUUGAUAAUAAUUGACUCAAAGAAAGAAAGAAGAGUUUUCUAGGAAAGCUACGAGACAACUGAGGAAACAGUGAGUGAACCUUUGCUCCUUCCACAGAAACAGAAACAGGAAUUGUUCAUUUCCCUUUGUUGAUCUGUAAUGUAAUGGGAGUUGAGAUGGUCUUUCAUUAUGCUUUUGAACAGUGUCUAGGAGAGUGAAGCCUCAGUCAUGGCAAAGCACUUCUGGAAUCCAAAUGAAGAUGGAGAUGUCAUGGAAACUUGGAUCUGGAUGAUCCAACAUUCCUCCAGCUUUGCAGUGGAAGGCCAUGGAGAUACUGCAUGACAUGGUGCGGCUGUUUCUGACAAGAAGAAGAAAAAUGCAUUGUUUCCCUCGUCAUGAAGCCUUCCUACUGAUGUGUGACUCUCAUACUUCAGAGCUGGCACCCAAAUGCAGGUCUGCCUUCCCCUCAAGAAUGUGCUUUUGGCAGCUUCCUUAAAACUGCACCUGCACGACCACCUCAUAAGCCUCAGAAAAGCCAGCGUUAGCAUUUUGUGAGCAGAAGAAGCAGGGCAAGCACUGCAUUCCCUGAAGAAUUCCUGGGCAUCCCUCCUGGCUUUGUGUCUUGUCUUGCAG